rnacentral:rRNA from 1 species
GAUGAACGCUGGCGGCGUGCUUAACACAUGCAAGUCGAACGGUGAAGGCGGAGCUUGCUCUGCUGGAUCAGUGGCGAACGGGUGAGUAACACGUGAGCAAUCUGCCCCUGACUCUGGGAUAAGCGCUGGAAACGGCGUCUAAUACUGGAUACGAGCUGCGAAGGCAUCUUCAGCAGCUGGAAAGAAUUUCGGUCAGGGAUGAGCUCGCGGCCUAUCAGCUUGUUGGUGAGGUAAUGGCUCACCAAGGUGUCGACGGGUAGCCGGCCUGAGAGGGUGACCGGCCACACUGGGACUGAGACACGGCCCAGACUCCUACGGGAGGCAGCAGUGGGGAAUAUUGCACAAUGGGCGAAAGCCUGAUGCAGCAACGCCGCGUGAGGGACGACGGCCCUCGGGUUGUAAACCUCUUUUAGCAGGGAAGAAGCGAAAGUGACGGUACCUGCAGAAAAAGCGCCGGCUAACUACGUG